rnacentral:rRNA from 1 species
CCUACGGGAGGCAGCAGUGAGGAAUAUUGGUCAAUGGACGCAAGUCUGAACCAGCCAUGCCGCGUGCAGGAAGACGGCUCUAUGAGUUGUAAACUGCUUUUGUACGAGGGUAAACGCAGAUACGCGUAUCUUUCUGAACGUAUCCUACGAAUAAGGAUCGGCUAACUCCGUUCCAGCAGCCGCGGUAAUACGGAGGAUUCAAGCGUUAUCCGGAUUUAUUGGGUUUAAAGGGUGCGUAGGCGGUCGGAUAAGUUAGAGGUGAAAUCCCGAGGCUCAACUUCGGAAUUGCCGCUGAUACUGUUAGGCUAGAGAGUAGUUGCGGUAGGCGGAAUGUAUGGUGUAGCAGUGAAAUGCUUAGAGAUCAUACAGAACACCGAUUGCGAAGGCAGCUUACCAAGCUACGUCUGACGUUGAGGCACGAAAGCGUGGGGAGCAAACAGGAUUAGAUACCCGGGUAGUC